GCACAGAGACUUUAAACACGGCAUUUCACUUCAGAAAGCUGCGACUUCUGUCGCCGCGAAUCGCUUUUGAAGAUAAAUUUAAAAACAUGUUUAGCCAAGUUUAAACUCAGCGUGUAUAUUUACAAUUUUCUUUUGAUUAUAGAUUAGUAACUGAUUUUAAUAUUCUUGUAAAUAUUUUUAUAUAAUUUUUAAAUGGUACCGUGUAUUUGUAUGUUUAUCUUUUAAUAGUUGUACACGCUGGCUGACGAAAGCACGUCGGAACGUAGUGACAAGACAAAUAUUAUCUUCUUUUAGCGCCGGUCAUGUGUUACGUCAAUCAGCACUUUAGGAUGCUUUUGAGGUCUGGGGUUUGCAAAUUUUUCCUGGAGCAGUUGUCUUAGAUGACUAUGGCUACCCCUGCAACAGUUGGUUUAUCACACCUUACAUUGACAACCAAACAGCUUUCAAGCGUCGGUUCAAUGAUGUGCACCAAUAAACUAGAAAUAUUAUCAAGCGAUGUUUUGAGAUUUUGAAAAACUGGUUUUACUCUCUGCAAGUACCUAUUCGAUUUUCUAAAGUAGAAAAUGCUGUAAAACUUGUUGUUUGUGCUUGUAUAAUUAACAAUAUAUCCCUUAAAUUUGCUGAUAAGGAUGAAGAUUUUUCAGUUUUACUUGCCACACCUUUGCCCUUUCAAGCUUGGGACGACACUCAAGCUCAAAUUCAAUCAGGUAUACGGGAGGUUGGAGUUGAGGAGUUUUGACAUUUGCUUAAUUUUUACCUGACCCUAAUUUGAGUAACUUAUAUUGAAAUAUUCUUUAAUCACUUACCAGCUCUCAAAUUUUGAACAUUUUUUAAUCUAGAGUUAGUACGUAAUAUAUUCCUUAUUAAAAAUAUAAAAGGUUUUAAACUUGUUUAGGCAACAAUUUUUAAACAGUUUAAAUGAUC